rnacentral:misc_RNA from 1 species
GUGAGAGGUAUCCUAAGAAAUAAAGAAAAGAACUAACUACAUCAGGUUAAGAAAAUGUUGUUAGACAUGAGUGGACUCACAAAAAUCCAAAAGCAAACAAACAAAUUUUAUUGAAAGAACCCACAAAAAUGGUAACCAGUCUAAAACAAAUACAGAAAUCAUUUAAGAUUCUCAUUUCUAAAAAGGAACCUUUACAAUUAGACAAAAUAAUUGAAUCAUGAAGCUUCAUUGAGAUAUUUAGAUUGCAAUUAAGCGUUUGGUUUUUUUUGAUGUCGCUG